rnacentral:rRNA from 1 species
GAUGAACGCUGGCUGCGUGCCUAAUACAUGCAAGUCGAGCGAACGGACGAGAAGCUUGCUUCUCUGAUGUUAGCGGCGGACGGGUGAGUAACACGUGGAUAACCUACCUAUAAGACUGGGAUAACUUCGGGAAACCGGAGCUAAUACCGGAUAAUAUUUUGAACCGCAUGGUUCAAAAGUGAAAGACGGUCUUUCUGUCACUUAUAGAUUGAUCCGCUCUGCAUUAGCUAGUUGGUAAGGUAACGGCUUACCAAGGCAACGAUGCGUAGCCGACCUGAGAGGGGGAUCGGCCACACUGGAACUGAGACACGGUCCAGACUCCUACGGGAGGCAGCAGUAGGGAAUCUUCCGCAAAGGGCGAAAGCCUGACGGAGCAACGCCGCGUGAGUGAUGAAGGUCUUCGGAUCGUAAAACUCUGUUAUUAGGGAAGAACAUAUGUGUAAGUAACUGUGCACAUCGUGACGGUACCUAAUCAGAAAGCCACGGCUAACUACGUG